UACAAAAAUAAUUACAUUGACUGGCAAAUAGUUAUGAAACUAUCCAUAAAUUUAGGCUUCGUCCUGUCAUGUACAACAUAUUUUAGAAACUACUUUCUCAGAGUACACUGUCUGUGCAUUUAGGUCAAAUAAAAUGCAUCCCACAUGUAAAUAUACUUAGAGAACAGUUUCAAAAGCACCAUGGUGCUCUUACAAAAUAGGCACAUUAACUCUGUAAGGAACGUUAGUGUUUGAAGGAAAGCAAAGAAAGUAACUCAGUGUCUGGACCAGAACCGACCUGAGGACUGUGACGCUGCCGCGGCGCACGGGCAGGUGCAGCACGGGCUCGGACACGCGGAUCGGCUUGAAGAGAAACUUGCAGCCGAAGCAGAGCGCGCUGUCGCUGAAGAAGGACACGGACACUAUUGGCCGCUCAAAGAUGUGGAUGGGAUCCACGUGGGACACGAUGCAGCCUCCGGGCUGGUAGUCAUUGAUCACAGCGCUAUUUACAAAACCCUCCGGGAUAACACCGUGCGUCACGAGGCGAUCGAUGACCAGCUCGUGCACCCAGUCCGGGAUAUCGUCCACCUCUCCUUUGGAGUACAGCCGCUCCUGCCCGGGUCCGCGCUUCUCCAGCUGCGCGCCGUACGUGUACCCCUCCCCGAAAAAGUACUUGUUUCGCAGGGGCGCCCGGUCCACCGUGUGCUCCCGGUACAGCCCCUUGUCUGCCUUGGCGACCACCUCGUCUAUCUUGGCCUCGAUGCGCGCGCACUCCUCCAGCGUGAAGAUACUCGCCUGUUUAAUGCCGCUCUUGACUCUGCGCGCCUCCGCGUCCCGCCGCUCCUCGUACUCGCUCUCGUCAUCAUCCGACUCGCGGUAUUUGCGCUUCUCGCCGUUGCUGUACUCGAAAACUUUGUCCCUGUGCGGUGUCAUCGACUUGAGCUUCUCUCGCAGAUCGGUAAAUCCGGCCAUUUUCAAGAGCAAAGUCCGAAAUAUUGCUGCAAAAUGUUGUUGAACCUGAAUUCGCCUCAGGUCCCCAUGUUAUAAUAUUAGUGUCGGUCACUGGAGUCGUGCGCGACGUGACCGAAGGCCCAGAGCGGUGCCGCCUGCUUCCUCUUCUCUCCUGGUACAAAUUUAAGCCAACUAAAGUUUCCACUGCCCCAUUCCAGGAGCAACCCGACUGAAUCAGCAACGCAACGCGCAUGGUGAUUUCACUGGGUGGCAGAGUGAGUCUCUUCUCUCGGACAGAAAGCAUAUUCUCGAUGUGCAUGGCGAUAACUCGACACAGCUCCAGACCCUGCCAAACAACAUAUGCAGUCAUAAAUCUCUCAUUCAUAUGUAAAGGAAUUCUGCAAGUCAUAUGAGGGGUAAAUUAAAGACUAUUUAAGAUCUUUUUAAUACCAACAAAAAAAAUGAGGAAAA
rnacentral:lncRNA from 1 species